UCGCGUGCACCCUUGUACUAGGUACUCCAUCGCGGCUAGAUACUCCAUGCCGGGCAGAUGGAAGCGGAUAUAUUUGCACCAAUCGUCGAGGCAGCAACGAUCGAUGCGGAACGGCCGAGGAUCGAUUUCAAUUUAGCGACCGUUUAAGCGUGCACGCUCGCGGCUAACGAGCUUUCGAAAGUCGUAGAUAUCCGACAAGUUGGCCUACGGGGGCAGUCCCGCCGCGGCUCACAACCACCCGGCAGAAACUUACCGCAGUCAGGCGGCAUAUUACACAGGCUCACGGACACGCGCGCGGUUUCGCCUGGCGGACGUUUAUGUGGCGUCCAGGAUCGUAGUGCGGAGCUUUUGCAAUGGAGGAGUCAGUGGCGUGUGGUUCCCAUUGUAGAGAUUAGAGAGAUCAGCAUAUCCACCUGAGAAACGGAUUUACAUUCGGCAACUAGAUUUACACAUUACGCUUUCUUUCUGCGAAUCACUUUCGUGCAAAAGAAAGUUUCUUUUUUUAUAUUGUAUUUCUUGAAGGAUCGAUGUCACUGUAAUAGAAUGUAAGUAC